rnacentral:rRNA from 1 species
GAGAGAGACAUGCGCGCAUAUCAAUAAGCGGAGGAAAAGAAACUAACUAGGAUUCCCUUCAGUAACGGCGAGUGAAGCGGGAAGAGCUCAAAUUUGAAAUCUUCAAGGUUUUACCUUGACGAAUUGUAGUUUAAAGAAGUGUUUUCUGCUGAAGUUUUGGUAAAAGUUCUUUGGAAUAGGACAUCAUAGAGGGUGAGAAUCCCGUAUUUGACCAUUAUUUUCAGCUUUGUGAUACACUUUCAAAGAGUCGGAUUGUUUGGGAAUGCAGUCCAAAAUGGGUGGUAAAUUUCAUCUAAAGCUAAUAUUGGCGAGAGACCGAUAGCGAACAAGUACCGUGAGGGAAAGAUGAAAAGAACUUUGAAAAGAGAGUUAAACAGUACGUGAAAUCGUCAAAAGGGAAGCGUUUGACACCAGUGUUGUUUUCUCGAAAAUCAAUUAAAAAUGGCUCGAUUUUGUAUUGUUGAGACUUAAAAGCUCACUGUACAUUUUUCGUGUCUUUUUUAAUGCACUUUUCGUUUAACAAGUCAACAUCAGUUUCUUUUGUUGUAAAAGGGUCAUUGGAAGGUGGCUUUCUUUUCGGAGAAAGUGUUUAUAGCCUUUGGCCUCUGCAAUCGGAGAGACUGAGGUCUGCAGCGUAGACUCUUCGGGGUUAGAUACAUUUGUGCUAAGUUAUAGCUUUUUAUAGACAACUUGUUGACUAUAAUUAGUCUUGUAGCUUACUCGCUUAUGCUAUUUUACCUACGCUUAGGAUGUUGAAGAUGUAGCACAUCAU